GAUAAACGCUAGCGGCAGGCUUAACACAUGCAAGUCGAGGGGCAGCAUAGAUUGUAGCAAUACAAUUGGUGGCGACCGGCGCACGGGUGCGUAACGCGUAUGCAACCUACCCGUCACAGGGGGAUAAUCCGGAGAAAUCUGGUCUAAUACCCCAUAACAUAUGGAUCGGCAUCGGUUCAUGUUGAAAUUUUCGGAGGUGACGGAUGGGCAUGCGUAGCAUUAGCUUGUUGGUGAGGUAACGGCUCACCAAGGCGACGAUGCUUAGGGGGACUGAGAGGUUUUCCCCCACACUGGUACUGAGACACAGACCAGACUCCUACGGGAGGCAGCGGUGAGGAAUAUUGGUCAAUGGGCGCAAGCUUGAACCAGCCAUGCCGCGUGCAGGAUGACGGCUCUAUGAGUUGUAAACUGCUUUUGUACGAGGGUAAAGUGGGUUACGUGUAACCUUUUGAAAGUAUCGUACGAAUAAGGAUCGGCUAACUCCGUGCCAGCCGCCGCCGUAA
rnacentral:rRNA from 1 species